AUACAUGGCCGACGCGGUUCAAUGUGUGGUAUCUGUUUUUAUCAGCUAAAUAUGUGAUAGGGCUCCUAUUUGGACCGACAACAUUAAACUUAUUUUUGGAAAUUGGCAGAGCGCUUGAAGCCUGCUUCACCUCCUCCGCGAGUCGCCUCGGUAUUGCACAUAUUCGGGAUCGCCCCAUGGAUG